GACGAACGCUGGCGGCGUGCCUAAUACAUGCAAGUCGAGCGAAGCGGCGGAUGGGUGAGUAACGCGUGGGUAACCUGCCCUUAAGUCUGGGAUACCAUUUGGAAACAGAUGCUAAUACCGGAUACUAAAGGAUGGACCUGCGAUGCAUUAGCUAGUUGGUAAGGUAACGGCUUACAAAGGCGAUGAUGCAUAGCGGAGUGGAGGGACUGAGCGGCCAAAUUGGGACGGAGAAACGGCCCAAAUUCCUACGGGAGGCAGCAGGAGGGAAUCUUCCACAAGGGACGAAAGUCUGAUGGAGCAACGCCGCGUGAGUGAAGAAGGUUUUCGGAUCGUAAAGCUCUGUUGUUGGUGAAGCGGUAAUCAACCAGAAAGUCACGGCUAACUACGUGCCAGCAGCCGCGUAAUUC
rnacentral:rRNA from 1 species